CUGUACAGGAUAGAGCGGGCUGCUGCUGAUAACUAGAAUUUUUAGAUAACCAGCACCCUCCUUACCCCACUCACGCUGGAUAACAAAGCUUUCACUAUAAUCAGAUAUAAACGUAGUGUUGAGUUUAUAUCCAACAACAUUUAAAAACAAGAUUUCCAUGAAAAUCAAGUUUGUACCUCAAACCUGAAGUAUUUUAUUUUUAGAAGAGCUGAGCACCUGUAUUUUCUCUGAAGUCAAUGGAAGGGACGUAUUCUAAAUUAAUAAAAGUACUAAGUGCAUUCACACAAAUGGACAAUUCUUCAGUAACAGUACCCCAGAGGUAAUUAAUAAAAAAUGUAUACCAGAUGAAAGAUAAAUAUUAGUUGCUGGUUUCUUACAUACUGCUUCAGAAAGGAGAAGAAUAUAUCAGAGAAAGGUUUUGUCUUAAGCCUAAAACAAACUUUUAGGAAGAGGAACAGCCCAAAGAAGGUAUGUGCACAAAUUCCUCACAUUACUCUUGUUUUAUGAUGCUCUAAUGUGACCAACUGGAGAGCACCUAAACAAGUUCCAAGAAGAGGUUACUUCUGGGUCAUCUCAUGCUAUCUUCACUUGAGUCCUUACUGAUACAGUAAAAAUUUAAUGUUU